AUGGAGCGAAACGCGCGGGAGGCGGAGGAGUUGAGGGCGGCUGCCGCCAAGGCGGCACAGGAGGAGGAGGAGGCGGCGAAGGCGCAUGCCGAGGCGGCGGCCAAGGCCCAAGCGGAGGUUGCGGCCGCGGCAAUAGCGGAGGGGGCCUUGCUCGUCACCCCUCUGCGUGUCGCGGCGCCCGAGGUCCCGGAGCCCCCGCCGGAGGAUGCCGGCGGCGACCAGCCAGGGUUGGAGAGGGAGGACGAUGUCGUCGUCCCGAAAAGGGAGGCGGCACCGGCCCCGCCGUCUGGGGCGGCUCAAGGCAGCCAGCCUAACGUGCCGCCUGCGCAAUCGGCCGGGGGCGAGCCGGCCGCGAGGAUGGACCUGGUGGUCCAGUCGCCAUCGCGCCAGCGCGCGGGGAAGGCCGCAUCGGACCGGCAGAAGGCCGCGGGCUCCGGCUCGUCGGCCCGGGACGUGGAGGCGGACAGCGUCAGCUCGGGGUGGACGCUGGGUGGAGGGACGGCCAUGGUGAACGUGGCGGCGCAGGAAGUCCGGAACCGGCUUCAGUCCAAGGCUGCGGCGCUGAGGAAAUACAAUGACGAGUUCCUUGCGACGCGAGCGGCCAUUCGGGACUACCACAACCUCCGCGCGGCUACCUUCAACUCCUAG
rnacentral:rRNA from 1 species